rnacentral:rRNA from 1 species
AUCCCCUUGCGCCGCCGGGCUGUGGAUCCCCGAACGCCGCCGCCAGGCCGUGGAGCCCCGCGCGCCGCCGCGGACCUCCACAUCCAUCCUCCGCCAUGGAUCCCAGGUUCCCCGCCGCCCCUAUCUGCCACCGCCGUGGCCCCCUGCUUCCGGGCGCACCAUCCACCGCCGCCAUUGUCAUGCGUCGCUGCCGCCCGAUAUGAUGAGGCGCCGCCGCCUCCCAAGCCACUGCCUAGCUCCAGCAUCUCCACGCGUCCACGCCACCAGACGGUUAACCGGGGUGUAGCUUCACUGUCAGACAUAUCCAUGGAUAUCACCAAGCUAACUCAGACGCUUGGUAUCCAGCCGAUUACAUUCCUGGAUGGAGUCAGAGCUACACUUGAUGCAGAAGCCACUACAUGA